GUGGGGAAUCUUGCGCAAUGGGCGAAAGCCUGACGCAGCCAUGCCGCGUGAAUGAUGAAGGUCUUAGGAUUGUAAAAUUCUUUCACCGGGGACGAUAAUGACGGUACCCGGAGAAGAAGCUCCGGCUAACUUCGUGCCAGCAGCCGCGGUAAUACGAAGGGGGCUAGCGUUGCUCGGAAUUACUGGGCGUAAAGGGCGCGUAGGCGGACAGCUUAGUCAGAGGUGAAAGCCCAGGGCUCAACCUUGGAAUUGCCUUUGAUACUGGCUGUCUUGAGUUUGGGAUAGGUGAGUGGAACUCCGAGUGUAGAGGUGAAAUUCGUAGAUAUUCGGAAGAACACCAGUGGCGAAGGCGACUCACUGGCCCAAUACUGACGCUGAGGCGCGAAAGCGUGGGGAGCAAACAGGAUUAGAAACCCGUGUAGUCC
rnacentral:rRNA from 1 species